GACGAACGGCUGGCGGCGUGGGAUUAGGCAUGCAAGUCGAACGGUAGGAUACCUUCGGGUAUCUGAGAGUGGCGAACGGGUGAGUAACACGUAGGUGAUCUACCCUCAAGAUUGGGACAACCCAGGGAAACUUGGGCUAAUACCGGAUGAAAGCAGCAGUGAUGUUGUUUGAAAGGUGGCGUAAGCUGCCGUUUGGGGAUGAGCCUGCGCUCUAUUAGUUAGUUGGCGGGGUAAAGGCCCACCAAGGCGAUGAUAGAUAGGCGGCCUUAACGGGUGGUCGCCCACACUGGGAUUGAGAUACGGCCCAGACUCCUACGGGAGGCAGCAGUCGAGAAUAGUCUACAAUGGCCGAAAGGCUGAUAGUGCGACGCCGCGUGAACGAAGAAGCCCUUCGGGGUGUAAAGUUCUUUUAUAUGUGAGCAGUGCUUUCUAUGUGAACAGCAUGGGGAGAGAGAUAUUAGCAUAUGAAUAAGCAACGGCUAACUCCGUG
rnacentral:rRNA from 1 species